UGCCAGCCGCCGCGGUAAGACGGAGGGUGCAAACGUUGCUCGGAAUCAUUGGGCGUAAAGCGCGUGUAGGCGGUGCGUUAAGUCGAGUGUGAAAGCCCUGGGCUCAACCCAGGAAGUGCGCUCGAUACUGGCACACUAGAGUACGGGAGAGGGUAGCGGAAUUCCCGGUGUAGAGGUGAAAUUCGUAGAUAUCGGGAGGAACACCAGUGGCGAAGGCGGCUAUCUGGACGAUGACUGACGCUGAGGUGCGAAAGCGUGGGGAGCAAACAGGAUUAGAUA
rnacentral:rRNA from 1 species